AGUGAACGCUGGCGGUAGGCCUAACACAUGCAAGUCGAACGGCAGCACAGUAAGAGCUUGCUCUUACGGGUGGCGAGUGGCGGACGGGUGAGGAAUACAUCGGAAUCUACUUUUUCGUGGGGGAUAACGUAGGGAAACUUACGCUAAUACCGCAUACGACCUACGGGUGAAAGCAGGGGAUCUUCGGACCUUGCGCGAUUGAAUGAGCCGAUGUCGGAGUAGCUAGUUGGCGGGGUAAAGGCCCACCAAGGCGACGAUCCGUAGCUGGUCUGAGAGGAUGAUCGGCGACACUGGAACUGAGACACGGUCCAGACUCCUACGGGAGGCAGCAGUGGGGAAUAUUGGGCAAUGGGCGCAAGCCUGAUCCAGCCAUACCGCGUGGGUGAAGAAGGCCUUCGGGUUGUAAAGCCCUUUUGUUGGGAAAGAAAAGCAGCAGGUUAAUACCCCGCUGUUCUGACGGUACCCAAAGAAUAAGCACCGGCUAACUUCGUG
rnacentral:rRNA from 1 species